rnacentral:rRNA from 1 species
UACAGAGGGGGGCAAGCGUUGUUCGGAAUUACUGGGCGUAAAGGGCGCGUAGGCGGCCCGCUAAGUCGAACGUGAAAUCCCCGAGCUCAACUCGGGAACUGCGUCCGAUACUGGUGGGCUUGAAUCCGGGAGAGGGAUGCGGAAUUCCAGGUGUAGCGGUGAAAUGCGUAGAUAUCUGGAGGAACACCGGUGGCGAAGGCGGCAUCCUGGACCGGCAUUGACGCUGAGGCGCGAAAAGCUAGGGGAGCAAACGGG